rnacentral:rRNA from 1 species
CCUACGGGAGGCAGCAGUGGGGAAUAUUGGACAAUGGGGGGAACCCUGAUCCAGCCAUGCCGCGUGUGUGAAGAAGGCCCGCGGGUUGUAAAGCACUUUCAGUGAGGAAGAACGCCUGGUGGUUAAUACCCAUCAGGAAAGACAUCACUCACAGAAGAAGCACCGGCUAACUCCGUGCCAGCAGCCGCGGUAAUACGGAGGGUGCGAGCGUUAAUCGGAAUUACUGGGCGUAAAGCGCGCGUAGGUGGCUUGAUAAGCCGGUUGUGAAAGCCCCGGGCUCAACCUGGGAACGGCAUCCGGAACUGUCAAGCUAGAGUGCAGGAGAGGAAGGUAGAAUUCCCGGUGUAGCGGUGAAAUGCGUAGAGAUCGGGAGGAAUACCAGUGGCGAAGGCGGCCUUCUGGACUGACACUGACACUGAGGUGCGAAAGCGUGGGUAGCAAACAGGAUUAGAUACCCCAGUAGUC